CCGCAAUGGACGAAAGUCUGACGGAGCAACGCCGCGUGAGUGAUGACGGCCUUCGGGUUGUAAAGCUCUGUUAAUCGGGACGAAAGGCCUUCUUGCGAAUAGUUAGAAGGAUUGACGGUACCGGAAUAGAAAGCCACGGCUAACUACGUGCCAGCAGCCGCGGUAAUACGUAGGUGGCAAGCGUUGUCCGGAAUUAUUGGGCGUAAAGCGCGCGCAGGCGGAUAGGUCAGUCUGUCUUAAAAGUUCGGGGCUUAACCCCGUGAUGGGAUGGAAACUGCCAAUCUAGAGUAUCGGAGAGGAAAGUGGAAUUCCUAGUGUAGCGGUGAAAUGCGUAGAUAUUAGGAAGAACACCAGUGGCGAAGGCGACUUUCUGGACGAAAACUGACGCUGAGGCGCGAAAGCCAGGGGAGCGAACGGGAUUAGAUACCCCGGUAGUCCUGGCCGUAAACGAUGGGUACUAGGUGUAGGAGGUAUCGACCCCUUCUGUGCCGGAGUUAACGCAAUAAGUACCCCGCCUGGGGAGUCGACCGCAAGGUUGAAACUCAAAGGAAUUGACGGGGGCCCGCACAAGCGGUGGA
rnacentral:rRNA from 1 species